GGCUCGGCCCCGAGCGAUGGAUCGGGUUCGAACCGGGUCAGGCCGGGAACGGAGCAGCCCUAAGGACAACGACCCAUGCGCGCGGAAGCCGGGCCCAC
rnacentral:SRP_RNA from 1 species